rnacentral:rRNA from 1 species
CAGUCGCCGCGGUAAUACGUAGGUGGCAAGCGUUGUCCGGAUUUAUUGGGCGUAAAGCGAGCGCAGGCGGUUUCUUAAGUCUGAUGUGAAAGCCCCCGGCUCAACCGGGGAGGGUCAUUGGAAACUGGGAAACUUGAGUGCAGAAGAGGAGAGUGGAAUUCCAUGUGUAGCGGUGAAAUGCGUAGAUAUAUGGAGGAACACCAGUGGCGAAGGCGGCCCUCUGGUCUGUAACUGACGCUGAGGCUCGAAAGCGUGGGGAGCAAACAGGAUUAGAUACCCGGGUAGUCCCUGUCUCUUAUAC